rnacentral:rRNA from 1 species
GCCGUUCUCAGUUCGGAUCGGAGUCUGCAACCCGACUCCGUGAAGCUGGAUUCGCUAGUAAUCGCGCAUCAGCCAUGGCGCGGUGAAUACGUUCCCGGGGCCUUGUACACACCGCCCGUCAAGCCAUGGGAGCCGGGGGUGCUUGAAGUGCGUCGCCGCAGGGCGCGCCCUAGAGCAAAACCGGUGACUGGGGCUAAGUCGUAACAAGGUAUC